GCAGAAAAUAAAUUGUUUUGGUAGCCAUAGUGGAGAUGGAAAUGACGGUAGAAAGGAGUUGAGAAAGGUAGAGAAUGAGGUCGUCCGGUGGUGCCAGACAUGCCUUUACACGUCCUUCAUCCUAGCCUGGGCCUGUUAGCGACAACGUUGGUGGCUAGUAGGGCCUUUAGAGGAUGCACUAAAGGUUAUCAUAUGUCCAUUACUAUGGAGGGGAAACUCUAUUACCCUUUACCAGGCUCAAAAUCUCUGAUCACUCACUUUGAUACAAGUAUCUAACUCACACUUUGAUUUUGACCGAAGAAUAUUGGAAGAUGAAAGUGAAGUGGUUUUUUCUUU
rnacentral:lncRNA from 1 species